GAAUGAUGAUGAUGAUUAUGAUGAUGAUGAUGAUGAUUACAAUGAUAAUUAGCAUUGUUGUGAUCAUCGUCAUCACCAUCAUCAUCAUUGUCU
rnacentral:pre_miRNA from 1 species